rnacentral:rRNA from 1 species
ACGCAAUAGAUACCCCGGUAGUCCUAGCCCUAAACGAUGAAUGCUUGGUGUGACGGGUAUCGAUCCCUGUCGUGCCGAAAGCUAACGCAUUAAGCAUUCCGCCUGGGGAGUACGGUCGCAAGGCUGAAAUUCAAAGGAAUUGACGGGGGCCCGCACAAGCGGUGGAGCAUGUGGUUCAAUUCGACGCAACGCGAAGAACCUUACCCAGGCUCGAACGGCGACUGACAUCCGGCGAAAGCCGGCUCCCGCAAGGGUAGUCGUCGAGGUGCUGCAUGGCUGUCGUCAGCUCGUGUCGUGAGAUGUUGGGUUAAGUCCCGCAACGAGCGCAACCCUUGUCCGCUGUUGCCAUCAGGUUAUGCUGGGCACUCUGCGGAGACUGCCGGUGAUAAACCGGAGGAAGGUGGGGAUGACGUCAAGUCAGCAUGGCCUUUAUGUCUGGGGCUACACACGUGCUACAAUGGCCGGUACAAACCGUCGCGAUCUCGCAAGAGGGAGCUAAUCGGAGAAAGCCGGUCUCAGUUCGGA